CUGCGGUUGUUUUCAGGACUGAAGACAACAGCUCCACGAUGUAUCUUUGCAUAAGAAUACACUUGUAUAAUAAGUUUUUUUUUUUAGAGAAAUUGCAUGUAUCUGCCUUAUAAACUUUUUCAUUCAUUCAUUUUCUUUCUUCCUAAUCUGUUCCAUAAAGCAAAUUUCUAACUUAUUGUUAAUCAAAAUAAUUAUUGAAAUAAUUAGUACUUUCAUAUGAUAAAGAUUAUUUUAAUCUGCAGCUACAAAAUAUGUAACUCAUUAAUAUUUAAACAAUCACAAUUUUCUAUUAACAUUAUAGCAUUUUAUCUACUACUAGAUCAGGAAUUAGCUAUUUUUUGUAAAAUUUCUUUGUAAGGCAAAGCAAUAGUAUUGUAUAUACUUUCCUAAAGAUUGUCAAGUUCAGUUUUGCUUAAAUUUAACAGUACAUGUGACACUUUCUGUUUGAAGAAUAAGUUGGUUUUAAGUUUAUACCAAACAAAAGCAUCUCUUUUGUUUUGCAAAAUCUGAAACUUUGAUCUUUCUAGUUGUGACUUCUUGUAAAUAUGUUUUAUAUAAAUAUUCUAUGAAUUGGUUAUUAACAAGGUAAAGAAAGAUUGAUAUGUAAGCUGAUUCUUAAACAUUAAUUUUCUGGAGAUAAACUUUUUUAAAAUUAUGCUUUAAAAAUAUUUUAACACAUGUUAUCAAAAAGGAACUGAAAUAUCUUAGGCAUAAAAGACAUCUCUAGAGGUCAUUAUUCAGUUUCCAGAAAGUACUGAAACUAUCUCUGACAGAUUGAUACGUUUUCUGCAUUUAUAGCUCUCUGGAGAGAGGUUCUGUAUAUUUAACAAUUCUCACUGUGAGGGAUAUUUUAAGUAUUUCAAAUUUAAAGUGCUCAUGUUUCAGAUUCAGAUUAUUAUUAUCAUCAUCAUUAUUUUGGUUCUGGCUUCAGUAAAAAUGUGAAAAACACUUUUCCAUCUUCUGAUAAUAUUUCAUAUUUAUAAAAUUAUUAUUAAGUUAUAACUCAGCUUUUUCAUUUAUGCUUUAAAUCCUUUUAUUAUCUCAUCACAACCAUCUUUGACUGUUUAUCAGAAAUGGUUCUCUUUUGUACAUUGACCAUUAUUUUAUAGAUCACAUUUAAGUUAAUAUAAAUCAUGCCUAUAAAUUUCAGCCUGCUUAUUUUUUAUAAUCUAGUCAGAUAUCAGCUAGACAUAUUGUUACCAAGUUUGGAGAGCCUUGGGAUAAGCUAGUUUCAAAACUGGCUGUUAGCAUCCCUCAGUUGUGUUUUGGGAGCAAAGGACACCCUUAAAAAAGGGAGGCAGUUAUAUUUUGUGAGCAUUAUAAAAUAAACUUAAAUUCUCAUAAAAUUAGUGAAUAUGUUUGGAACAGUGUGAAUUACGUGUGUGCUACAUGAAGUAUAUAGAAUUCAUUUGAAGUAGGAAGUCUGGCCUUACCUCAAAAGACAGUCAUUCAAUUAAGCAGUUAAACAUAAGCCACCAUAAGAAGUUUUUUUGAUACUUAGAGAGAGAAAGGCAACGUGUAUUAAAAUUCCGGGACCAUUAUCUCAGGAGUGCUGUGUUAUUAUUGACUGGGGGCCUGCUGGGAAGCUAGAAAUAUAUCUAAAAUGUGGCAGGUGGUUAAUUAGAGCAUAUGAAUAAAUAUAUAUAAAUUUGUUAAAGCGUUCACUUAUGGUAAACUAUACCUCAAUUAAAAAGAAAAAAUAUGCACAAAGAAAAUAAAUAAUGAAUGGAAAUAUGAGCCUCUAAAAUCAAAGUUAGAAAAGCAGAUAUUCAAAUUUGCAGAGCUGAUUGUCAACUGGAAUGAUUGUGAUAGAAUCAAGUCUCACUAGCUCAUUGGAAAUAGGAUUUGUUAAGGUAAUGAUGGUUAAUGAUUUUUCAGCAUAAUAACAGCCAAGUUAAUGUAUGGGUGCGUGUGUGUAUCCAUAGGUGUAUGUUUUUACAUGCGUAUUUUUAUUGUAAAAUUAACAUGUUUAUUGAAAACAAGAAAGCACAGAAAAUAUCAACUUAAGUAAAGAUCAACAUAAUUUAGUUCAAAAUUAUAUUCAACAGUGCAUUAUUUCAAUGUUUUUUAUCUUAAUCCAUUUGCUUGAAAGCAUUGAUAUAUGCUCCAAAUUUCCUCCCAGAUUCCACUUGGGGAAAUAUUUAGUAUAUUGGAUUAUGAAAUGAUUUAUCUUUACCUAUAUUAUUAGUAAAGUUCUUAAAAUUUUUAGCCUGUUACUGUCUAUGUGAUUAGUGAUAUUGUUCACAUGACUAAAAUUCAAAGAUAAAAUAUGAUUAUAUUUUAUGGGUGAAAGUUAGGAAGCAAAAUAGCAUAUUAAUACAUUUAACUAAAGUAGUAUUCAUUUGGAUAAUCAAGGUCAAACACUUCAAAAAUAAUAAUUUUAAAGUUAAUGCUUUCAAAAAAUAAAUUAGCAAAAAUUAUUUACUUUGUUUCUUAAAAAGAAGAAUUAUUGAAAAAAAUUCUACCAUCAAAAAAUAGUUGUUCUAUGCCUAGUUUAUUUUAGUCACUGAAUAAGACUGAGCCCUUGACCUCAUAUUUUUUCCUGCCUCACCAUUAGCAGUUAGGUUUAGCUAUGCAAACCUUUAUUUAUUCAACAUAUAUAAAAUACUUAGUAUGCAGUAGAUGUUAUUCUAAGUGCUUGGUAGAUAUCAACACAUUUAAUAAUCAAAACAACUCUAAGAGGUAAUUAGUACUAUUAUCUCCAUUUUAUUACUGAGGAAACCAAAGCACAAAGAGAGAAAGAAAAGAAAGAGAAAAAAGGAAGAAAGAAAAGAAAGAUGAAAGAAAGAAAGAGAAAGAAGAGAGAGGGAGAGAGAGAAAGAAAGAGAAGGAAAGAAAGAAGGAAGAAGAAAGAAAGAAAGAAAGAAAGAAAGAAAGAAAGAAAGAAAGAAAGAAAGAAAGAAAGAAAGAAAGAAAGAAAAAAGGAAGGAAGGAAAAGAAACACAUGGAAAGUGCUUCUUUGGACCUUUUAAGUUGCAUUAUCCCAUAAAAUGUGGUGGAUUCAAUGUUGUAUGGCCUGUAAAACUAAGUAAUGAAGGCUGAUAUGUACCCACCUGGCUCUGUCUUGGGAUCACACAACUUGGGAGCCAAAACAGAUUGCAAAUGAUGUUCAAAUCAAGGACUGGCUUAAGGGAGAAAAUCAAUUAUACUGUACAACUCACACUUAAGACCUCAGAGAGAUCUAAGAUGAUUCUUUAUAUAAUUUUUAAAACAAUCACCCCUCUAAGGAGCAUAACAAUGUGUUUUAAAUGUCCUCCCCAUUAUACAGUGAGACUUAUAAGAAUCUCAAGGAUGGUGUCCCAAGGCAAACUCAUGGCAAGAUCAAGAAAGAGAAUGGCCUGUCUUGACAAGAUUUGUGGUUUUGGCUUUCGUCUGAUGGAAUGAAUUGUACACAAAUACACAGAAAUCCCACAAAUAUUAAAAUAAUUGUAUCAACUUGUAAGAAAAAGGGAAAGAAAUAGCUUAAAAUGGAAUAUUGCUAAGCCCUCAAACCUUUACAAGCAGGAAAUAGGUGUAAACAGGCUUAGGAAAAUGGAAGGUGGACUCAGGGCAGAUUGAGGAGAUCUUGGAGUGCAGCAAAGAGCCAUAGAGAGCAAUUUCCAGGGAGUAGGACUGAACUCUAACCAAAUAAUUGGCAGCAUGUGCCUGGCAUUUCAGGAUUGACAUGGACCGGUGACUACUGUGUUCCUUCCCAUUCCCCACCCUUUUGUGUAGGAUUGUCUGUAGCAGUUUCCCAAUGCCUGUUCCUCCACUUGACGUUGGGUAUUUGGAGAACAAGAAAAAUUCUCUUUUUAGGUCAGAUGUGUGACAUGUAUCACAUUGUAAAAAAGAGUGCUCAAUGAGCUGUAUUUCAGGAAUUGCACUUAAGGGGAAUUAUUUUUACCUAUAUUGGAUUAAUAUGAUAAGAUUUUGAACUUUGAGCUUAUGUAAUUAUGAAGUGAGACCUUUAGUCUUGGGGAAUGACUGUAUUUUAUAUGCGAGAGGUAUAUAAAUCACUGUGGCCUGAAGAUAGACUGUGGCAGAUUGUAUUUUUCAAAGAUUUCCUGUCACACUUUUUUUUUAUUCUUUAUUUUUCUCUUUCUUUCUCUUUCCUCUUUCUCUUUCCCUUCCUCCCUUCCUUCCUUCUUUCCUUCCUUCCUUCCUUCCUUCCUUCCUUCCUUCCUUCCUUCCUUCCUUCUUUUCUUUCUUUCUUUCUGAGAGGGUCUCACUCUGUUUCCUGGCUAGAGUGGUGUCACAUUCAUAGCUCACUGUAGCUCAAACUCCUGAGUGCAAACAAUCCUCCUACAUCAGCCUCCCAAGUAGCUUGGACCACAGGUGUGCAUCCACUCCUGGCUAAUUUUUUAAUUUUAAUUUUUGUAGAGACGGGGUCUCACUUUGUUGCUCAGACUGAUCUUGAAUUCCUGGCUUCAAGAGAUCCUGCUGCCUCAACCUCUAAACUUGCUGGGAUUGCAGGUGUGAACCACCAUGCCCAGCUACUUUCUUUUUCUUACAAUAUGCCUUUGAUGCUCUUCCCAUCAAGAGGUAUUCCUUUCCCUUGAAUAUGGGCAAGGCUGUGAUUAUUAAUGCUAUAUGACUUUUGAGAGUAGGUCAUGAAGCAUGAUACAUUUUCCUAGUUCAUUUAGGAUGCUUGCUCUUAAUACCUAGCCCCUAUGCUUGUAUAAGUCCAAGAGACCUGUUGUGGGGAGGCUCACAUGAAGAAGAACGCAGGCACCUAGCCUACAGUCUGAUUGAGCUCUCAUCUGAUAACCCAUAAGAACUUGAGAGCCUUGUGAGUAAACCAUCUUGAAUCUUUCAGGACCCAGUUGAAACACUUCAGCUGAUGCUGCAUGGAUCAUUGCGGAUUUGUGAGCAAAAUAAAUUAAUAUAGCUUUUUGUUUUAAUUAAACAAUAUUUUUUGAGACAAGAUCUCAUUUUGUCACCCAGGUGGGAGUACAGUGGCACAUUCACAGAUCACUGUAGCCUCAAAUUCCUAAGCACAGGAGGUCCUCCCACCUCAGCCUCCCCAGUAGCUGAGACCACAGCAUGUGCCACUGUGUCUGGCUAAUUUUUUAUUUUUUUGUAGAAACGGAGUCUUGCUAUGUUGCCCAGGCUGGCCUCAUGUGAUCCACUUGCCUCAGUCUUCCAAAUUGUUGGGAUUACAAGUGUGAGGCACUGCACUGAGCCCAAUAUUCCUUUUUAAGCUACUAAGUUUUGGACUGAUUUGCUUCCCAGCAGUAUACGAUUGAUAAAACACAGAAUAUAGAAUAAAAUUAAUCUCUUAUGUUGUCCUAUGAGGCUUUGUGAGAUUUAGUUUCUACCAACACCCCAAAGUCAUGUCAUACCAUUUUUCACUGUGCUUACUUUGCUUCACUGACUUUUCUCCUGUUUUCUAAAACUAGCUAGUUCUUAUCUUCAGGCUUUGUCAUUGUCAUUCCCUGCUGAGAAUAUUGUCUGUCCAAAUCUUGUAAUUCAGACUCAAAAAUAGUCUGUGGCCACUCAAUCUAAAGUAACCCACCACAAACUCUAGCCCAUCUCCCUAUUUAUUUUCAUCAUGAUAUUUAUAUCUAUCUCAUCUAAAUUUUAUCUAUUUGUCAUCUAUCUAAUUGAAAUUUCAUGUUUCUUUACUACUAAUACGCAAGCUCUGUUAAGACAGAAGUAUUUAGUUUAAUUAGAUCCCAUUUGUCAAUUUUGGUUUUUGUUGCCAUUGCUCUUGGUGUUUUAGACAUGAAGUCUUUGCCCAUGCCUAUGUUCUGAAUGGUAUUGCCUAGGUUUUUGUCUAGGAUUUUUAUGGUUUUAGGUCUAACAUUUAAGUCUUUAAUCCAUCUUGAAUUAAUUUUUGUAUAAGGCGUAAGGAAGGGAUCCAGUUUCAGCUUUCUACAUAUGGCUAGUCAGUUUUCCCAGCACUAUUUCUUAAACAGGGAAUCCUUUCCCCGUUUCUUGUUUUUGUCAGGUUUGUCAAAGAUCAGAUAGUUGUAGAUAUGUGGCAUUAUUUCUGAGGGCUCUGUUCUAUUCCAUUGGCCUAUAUCUCUGUUAUAGGGACACUUUUACACUGUUGGUGGGACUGUAAACUAGUUCAACCACUGUAGAAGUCAGUGUGGCGAUUCCUCAGGGAUCUAGAACUAGAAAUACCAUUUGACCCAGCCAUCUCAUUACUGGGUACAUACCCAAAGGAUUAUAAACCAUGUUGCUAUAAAGACACAUGCACACGUAUGUUUAUUGUGGCACUAUUCAUAAUAGCAAAGACUUGGAACCAACCCAAAUGUCCAACAAUGAUAGACUGGAUUAAGAAAAUGUGGCACAUAUACACCAUGGAAUACUAUGCAGCCAUAAAAAAUGAUGAGUUCAUGUCCUUUGUAGAGACAUGGAUGAAGCUGGAAACCAUCAUUCUCAGCAAACUAUUGCAAGGACAAAAAACUGAACACCACAUGUUCUCACUUGUAGGUAGGAAUUGAACAAUGAGAACACAUGGACACAGGAAGGAGAACAUCACACACCGGGGCCUGUUGUGAGGUGGGGGGAGCGGGGAGGGAUAGCAUUUGGAGAUAUACCUAAUGUAAAUGACGAGUUAAUGGGUGCAGCACCCCAACAUGGCACAUGUAUACAUAUGUAACAAACCUGCACGUUGUGCACAUGUACCCUAGAACUUAAAGUAUAAUAAAAAAAAAAGAAAAAAAAGAAAGACAGAAGUAUUGUUCAUCUUGUUUUCUUCCCUAAUCACGUUACCUAGAACAGUGCCUAUCAGAUAGUAGGCACUCCACAAAUAUUUGUUGACUUAAUGAACCAGUGGAAAUAAAUAUUAAUUCAGUUUUACAUUACACAGCAAAAUAGAAAUCCAAUAUUUAAUCCAGUUCAUAUUACAAAAUAAUACCUUCUUUUUAAAAAUUAAAUCCAUUAAAUUGACAUAGAAAAAUCUUCACCAUCUCAUGACUUUAUAAAAACAAAAUUGGUUUCUAUACCACUUGGAUUAUUUCUACAAAUUCUAUUUAUAUGGUUUGUGUCAAUAAACCAUAGAAAAUAAAAUUUUCAAAUAAAACUUAUAUAUUUGUUAUUUGAUCUUGUUCUACUUAUAUGAAUCUUUUAUUUCAUGCAAAUAAAACCCAAAAUAUGAUUCAGCAACUUUCAGUCUGUUUUUAGAGGCAGAGUCUUGAUAUUUCACCCAGGCUGGAGUGCAGUGUCACAAUCAUGGCUCACUUCAGGCUCAACCUCCUAGGCCCAAAAGAUUUAUUCACCUCAACCUCCUGAGUAGCUGGGAUUACAGGUGUGCACCACCAUGCCUGGAUAAGUUUUAUAGUUUUUGUAGACACAAGGUCUCGCUAUACUGCCCAGGCUGGUCUGGAACUCCUGGACUCAACUAAUCCUUCCACCUCAGCCUCCCAAAGUAUUGGAAUUACAGGUGUAAUCCACCAUGCUUGGCCAAUUUUCAUUCUUUAAUGUUAGGCUUUGAGUUUAGUAUCAAACUUUAAAACAAAAGCAACAACAACAAAAAACAAAAAACAUUUCCAAAAAAGAAAAAAAGUACUGGUAGCAGUCAAUAAAAGAAAAGACUCCAAUUUCCAGGAAUUUGGAAUGUGGAAUCCUGGCAUUAUAGAGAUACAGCUUUUUCAUCUAAUUAAUGUAUAAAAUAGUCAAUACUUUCAUUUUAUUUUCUUGGAGUUUACUCCUUUUCACCCUGAAGCCUGGGUAACAAAGCAAGUGCACAAAAAUCGUUAGAAUAACACUUUUCAACAAGAAGCAGUCCCAAAGUAAGUGAAAGGAAUUUCUUUAGUGAUUUUCUCCCUGAGGGGGAGCAGUAGUCUGAAAUCUCACUGGUAUCUAUUCUGAAAGAAUCAGGGGAUUUAUUUAUGUCAUAAUCUAGUAUUUGCAGCCUGCUUUGAUUUUCCUCGGGAUUUCCUUGGAUAUAUUUUACUGAGAGAAGUGUGAAAAGUACUUCUGAUUUGAGAAGCAUGAAAAGAAAGCCUCAGGCCAGGAGACCAUCUUCUACUCUGAGUCAUCCAUUUGCCUGUUCUGAACAACCUCUACUAUUGGCUCUUGCACAAAGAUCUCCUGAGAGUAGUUGUUGGUAGACUCUAAUUGCCUACUAUUUUUAACUCAUUCCCUUACUCCUUUGAUAAGAGUUGAGAGCCCAAGACUUUAAUGGAUUUUGCACGUAUGUCUUAUUCUAUUUACCUAAUCAUAAUGCAAUUUCACUUCAGCACAAACACAGCCAUAGCAAUCAUGACUUAAUUUUAAUUCCUAACUCACUGUAAGUAAGCCAGCUUAUGCUUUUACUAACCAAUUUCCAAUGCAUAUAAAUAAUAACACAUAUUUGGCAUAUCACAGUGCUUAGCUCUUUCUGAUGAGCAAAAGAUUAUAUAUUUAUUGGUGCUUAUCUUGAUGUUUCACAAGAUUUUUCAUUUAUUUCUAUACUGUUCCCUUAGGUUACUAGGUGCAGUCACUUUCCCUACCACCUGCUUUCCACUAUCUGCUCCUUAUCUUUUUCUUUAGAACCUUGCUUCACCUUCUUCCUCUAUUUGUGACCGCUCUGCAGGUGAUCAGGCUUCCUCCACUUUCCUUACCUUCUGAUUGUCUCAUACCAUCUUCCAUCAUUUUCCACACAUAUUACUUGCUUUAUACCAUACUGUAUUUGUAAAACACAUAAAAGAUUGCUAGUAUUUUUAUUUUAUAGAUGAUGAAACUGAAGUAUGAAAGAUAAAUGACUCACCAGAGGCUAUGAUUUGUGGGCCUUUUAGUGGGUUUAAUAGGAGGAAAGCAAAGGUGAAAUGCCAGAAUAGCGAAGGUGGAGAAAUUUGAGAUGAGUGAUAGAGACCUAAGAAAGUGGCAGUUAAAAUGGUCCAGGGCAUAAAAUGAUGUGAGGAAUAGUAGAAAGAAAAGGAGAAAAAUACCUUAAAAUUGAUGACUCUUCUGUCCUAAUAACUUCAAAGUGCAUUUCAAUUUGAAACCUUUAUCACCUCAUUGCGUGGAGGAGACAAAGGAAAGAAAACAUACAGAGCAUUUGUCUCUUCCUGAAGUUUCCUCAAUUCAUAAAAUCCCUAAGACACUAAGAGAAGAAAAUACUGUGAACAUGUUUAGUUUGAUAUUGGUUAUUGUCAUUUCUUUUCAUUCCUUCAAAUACAUUUUAUAAAUUCAAUUUCACAUAUUAUUUAACCUCAUCUACCUGACAUGAUAUUGUUCUCCUGACACAUCCUGUUUAUUAAAUAUUAAUCACAUAUUUUACUGGUUCCAAAUUAUGCUUUUAUUAUACUUGCUUAUUUGCAGGCGGGGGCUGGGGAAAGGGGGAGUGACUUUCAAUAGAAUCGGGAUCUCUAGUAUGAUCACCCGCAUGAUGACAUCAUCAACAGUAGACUUAAGAAUCCUGUUGGCUCCACUUGCUCUAAAUUUAUCAGUUUCCUCUGGUUCUCUCUAUCAGCCUUAAGGUUGGGUUCCUGUUCAAUACUUUCUUUCUUUUUUUUUUUUUUCUUACUUGUAGGGCCAAUGUGUAGAGCUGCCGACUUUCUUAAUAAUGCAAAUCCAAGGGGUGCCCCUAGCAUUCUGAAAUACGCAAACUUCAAAAACAUAUCUAAUAACCCUGCAUCAGCUCCAUAUAACAGUUUUAAUUAGGGCCCUUAGCAGGGCAUACACUAAUUACUGCAAAGAGCAAACAAAACUAAAAUGAGUAAUAAACAGAAAAUUUAUUUGAUGAGUAUCUACAAUGGGGCAGGUUCAAGGUGUGUUAUAAAUGUUGUGAACUCAAAAGUGGAUAGUAAAGAGCCAGCCCCACUCUCAUGGAGCUUACAUUUUAGUAUGGGUAGGGGCCAAUAAUAAUCAAAUCAAACCAAAUCAAACAAGAUGUUGAAAAGUAAUAAAUGCUAUGAAGAAAAAUAAAAUAGUAUAAUAUCAUAGAAUAGAGAGACAUGGACGCUGUUUUAGGGAAAAAAUGUUACGGGUAUAUAAGCAGAAAAGCAGAUACUCUGAUAAGAGGAUAUAUGAACUGAAAUCUGAAUGAAGCGAAUUAAGUGAGCCUGCCAUGUAAGAAGUAGGAUUUUGGGACAGGGGAAUAGCAAGUGCAAAUAUCCUGAGACAACAGUGUGCUGAGAGUGCUUAAGAAAUAGCAAGGGGGCUCUGUGGCAGGGGUGAAGUGGGCAACAAGUAGAAUGAUAAGAAAUGAUGACACAGAGGAAGCCAGAGAUAAGACCGAGUUCUGACAUUCUUAUAAGCCAUAAUAAGAAUUUUAUUCAAUGUAUGAUAGGAAAUCAUUGAAAGAUUUUAAGCAAGAGUAACACUAUCUGAUUUGCCAUUUAGAAGUCAUUAAGAGGUCAAGAAAUUCUAUAAUUGCUGGUAUGUUCAGAAUAGACUGAGUGAUACAAUAGAGGAAGCAAUGAGGCAAGUUAGGAGGCUACAGAAGUUGUCCAGGUUAGAAAUGAUGGUGUGACUUCAAUGGUAGUGGAGGUAGGGAGAAGGGUGCAAUAAGAACAUAUGCUUAAGGUAGCUCUUGUUACCUUUACUCUGACUGCUAUUCACUGAGGGAUUAGUUAUGAGGUAGGAGAGAAAGAGGGAUGAAAUGUGAUUGUAAGGUUCUAACCCUGAGCAACUAGAUGAAUGGUGAUACCAUUUUCUAUGAUGGGUAACAUUGAAAGACGAAAGUUUGAAAGCAGAUGAUAAUAGGAAUCAAUAUAUUAUGCCUGGAGAUGUUGAGUUGAGUUUGAGGUGCUUACAAGACAAUUUAAUUAGAGAUAAUUGUGGUUUGUAACAGGGAAAGAGGUACUUUUGCAAUGUGCAUGUGGUCACUUAUCUGCUGACUCAACUUGCUGGUGUGAGGAAGCAGCUAACUCUCAGAAAUUUAGGUAGUGUGAAAGAGAAGGCAAGUAUCUAGUAGUAGAGACUAUUUUCACUGUUUGAAUUAUUAUGGAUAGACUGACAGUGGGAAUAUUAUUAAAAUAUGUGACAAGGAAUUCCAGUCAUAAUUAAAGUAAAUAUUUUGCCAGAAAUGAUAACAAAUACCUUUGCACAGAGUUCCCAUUGGUCCCGAAACCUGAAGGUGCUGGCAGUGCCUUUAAGAGGCUAUAGAAUAUGAUCUGCUGUAGUUUUGCUGAGCUUGUUAAAAAUAACCCUUGGCCAGACACAUGCCAUCCUUCAGAAUUAAGUAGAUCCCUCAGCACCUGCUUCCUGUACCCUGUCUUCUGUUACCAUGUGCUUUCUCAGAUACUAAUGGGUUCUUGGCUUUUGCUUCUAGGUAUAAUUGUGAUCUCUUCCCAGGAAAAAGGUAAUGAUCCUGGAACAAGAUAUAUAUGCCUGGUAUAUAUUUAUUAUCUUACAAUUGAGCUUUCAUUACCAAUAAGAGUUCUCUUACCUUGAGUCCUCACCCUGUGCUAAGCUCUUGCAAAACACAUCCCAGAUUUUAUCUCAUUUAAUCCUGGCAACAGUGGUACAAGGCAAAACCUGGUAUUAUUCUCAUUUUUUAUUUAGAGAAAUAUAAUUGUAAAGAAAUUAAGUAAAUUGUGCAAGGCCUCACAGUAAGUUGUAGGACAAUAAAGACGCAACAGGUGCCAUCUACCUCUAAUGGCUGACCACUUACUAUAUUAAAUUGUUCUUGUGAGCAUGGGAGAAUCUUGGGGAAACUAUUAUACAGACUGCUGGAGGUAUGUGACUGGUUACUUUGAAAUUGAACUCUAAUGUGGUCCCAAGAAUUUUUGAAAUCUUGAAAGAGAGUAGAACUUCCAGUAACCCUUCAGAUGUUUCAGAGAAAAUAUCAGGUUUCUGUUUUAAAAUAGAGGUAAUAAACACAUUUUUAAGACAGGCUCUUUUAUUCUAGAAAAAUCUCUUGAGAUAUAUAACUAAACAAAUAAAAGACAGACUCCGAUAUCAGAAAAGCAAUUACAGACCCUUCAUUAUAAGAAGUAAAAAUUGCUCUAUACAAUAGUAGAAAAUAUGGUCACUGUGGUACAUCUCUGCAGCCUGACAUCUGAUUUUUGUUGCUGUUAAUAGAAUGAGACUUGGCUGUUCUAAAAAACUACAGCUUGUCCUGUGGAGAACUGUGAUUACUUCUGAUGGAAAAUGACAGGCUGAAUGCCAGAAGGCAAAGCAACUGUUUUCCUAAGAGUCUUAAGACCCUGAAGGACUUGUGCCUCCUUUGGUGAUCUAGGGGAUAAAGAAGUGGAAUGGAAAUGGAGAGGAAUAGCUGGAACAAAAAGGCAAAGAGGUAUAAUCUAUCAUAAAUAUGCCGCCUUUAUAAGCAUGUGUGUACCAAAAAAAAGCCACAAACCAUAUAAAGUGAGCCUAUAUUAGAAAUAGAAGUAUUUUAUGAAAUAAUAUAUUUAAAAUUUCCAGUAAACAGAAUAUAAAUUUUUCCCAAAUACCCAUAAUAUAUUUACAAUAUUAGAAAAAAAUGCAAGCAGAAUUUAUGUAAAUUAUAUUAAUGGAAUUAACGGAAUAAAAUUAGAAGUUAAAAUUAAAAAUAGCCAAAAUUAAUAUUUGAAAAUAAAAAUAUUUUGUUAUUUGUGUUAAAGGGGAAAUCAAAACUAAAAUUAGAUAUUAUUUAAAAAUGAAUCUUACUAUAUAUCAAAUCACAUAAUAUCAAAAUCAUACUCUAAAGAAAUUUUGUAGCCACAGAUGUAUAUUUUUAGUCUGAUAAAUGAAAUCUGCAUUCACCUCAAGAAGCUAGCGAAACAACAAAACAUUAAGAACUAAAAUCAACAUAAUUUCUGGUCACUUUGUUAAAUAAAAUUGAAACCAGAAUAUUUCCUUGUACCUCUAUUAAGUUAAUACCAAGAACAAGCAAAAAUAAAGCAAUUACUUGUUCUAGAAAAUAUUUUCUCUUUGGAAAUAAGACGAAUAACCAGCUAAAAUAGGUUUUUAAUCAAAACUAACAAAAGUGUUGAUCAAUACUCAUUUCAAGAUCCUGGCUUCAUGGUGCCCAUCAAUCCAAAACUACUUCCUAGACCCUGUUGAAUCUCAACCAACUUCCCCCCUGUCAAGACUAGCUUUAAAAUCACUCAUGAAGGUAUGAGAUUCUAAUAAACAUCUCCCUUUCCCUCUGACUUCUCCUUCUUGAGACACUACACUUGUACUCUAUUAAGGUGAUAGUUUUUCUUCCUGCAAUAGGUCACAUAAACUUAGCUGUCUUCAUCAAUAUUUCUGAAGGUAUUUUGUGAAGUUAACAGCAAUGGAAGAGAAAUAAAUCAUAAAUAUUUGAAAACCAGUUAUUUUAAUAAAAAAAGAAGUGUCUUUUUUUUUAACAGAAUUGCAAAUAACAUAUGGAGAUACUGUGCUCCCAGGAGGUGGAGAUGAAUUAUUAUCCUUUCUUCACACCUUCCCAUUGAGAUUGGGCUAGAUUUGCUGAUAUUUUUCAAAAAAAUAGUGCAGUGAAAAAAAAAAAGGUGCAUUGUUUUAGUACAAGAAACUUGGCACAUUCUACCUCAACCAAAUGAUGAAAGUUAACAUCACAGAUUCCAUGUGGACAUUACUACCUCCCUGGUAUGAUGUGAUGAGAAAGGCAUUUCCCUCUGUGGUAUUAUUUCAAAUGACUGAUAAUUCUGGUCUAAUCAGGAGAAAAACAACACAGAUCCAUUGGAGACUUUCAACAGGACACCUGCCCAGUAUGCCUCAAGACUUUCAAGGUCAUGAAAACCAGAAAGGAGAGAUAAACAAUCACAGAUUAAGACAUUGUGGAAAUUGAACAAUCAGAAGCAAUGAUGUAGCCUAGAUUAAAUCCUAAAUCUGUAAGAGGACAUUGAUGGAAAAACUGGUGACAUCCAAAGAAGUCUUGAAUUUAGUUACAGUAAUAUCCUAAAAGAAAAAAAAUUGAAAUUGAAAGCAAAAUAAAGUACUUCACAAAUAAAUGAGAAAUACAUCAGAUAAUUCAGAUUAUAAACAAAGAGAAAAAAUCAAUUAG
rnacentral:lncRNA from 1 species